rnacentral:lncRNA from 1 species
GUCGGCCAACCGUUUUCCACUGAAAACGGGGUCACCGGACGCACGUUAUGUUGCACCGGACGCACUGCACCGAGCGUCCGGUGUGACAUAACGGCUACCUGCGCUUUUCUCUGACAGGUCACCGGACGCUAACUCGCAGCGUCCGGUGCACCGUCCGGUGCUCGGGGAAACUUUACAUGUUCCCUGCGCAUGGGACCGGACGCUACCCGGCGCGUCCGGUGCUAGCGUCCGGUGCUCAGGGGAACUUUGCAAGCUCCCUGGGUAAGGGACCGGACGCUGCCCGGUGCGUCCGGUGCCAGCGUCCGGUGCCUAACCCUAAGCACCAA